rnacentral:ncRNA from 15 species
GUGGUUUUAGUUUAAUUGAAAAACGUUUGCUUUGCAAGCAAAAGUUCUAAGUUAAAGUCUUAGAAGCUACA